rnacentral:rRNA from 1 species
UACAGAGGGGGCAAGCGUUGUUCGGAAUUACUGGGCGUAAAGGGCGCGUAGGCGGCCUUCUAAGUCGAACGUGAAAUCCCCGGGCUCAACCCGGGAACUGCGUCCGAGACUGGAAGGCUCGAAUCCGGGAGAGGGAUGUGGAAUUCCAGGUGUAGCGGUGAAAUGCGUAGAUAUCUGGAGGAACAUCGGUGGCGAAGGCGGCGAUCCUGGACCGGUAUUGACGCUGAGGCGCGAAAGCCAGGGGAGCAAACGGG